AAUAGAAUUGUCUCUCCUCCACACCUGCUUGCCUGUAUUCAUCUGUAGUAAGAUAGAUGAUGAUGAGAUCCGGAGCCAACAGCUUUUUACUCUCCCAUGUCUUUUAAUCAUGUCCUAAAGGCUUAUGAAUUAAGGUUCAUGCUGCUUUUAUCUCCUGUUUUUAUUGAUGGCCUUUAAAGACUUCCAGUGGAAUUUUCACUACUUUGUUUUGGUGGCAUGGGAGAAAAAUCCUUUAUAUCAGGGAUGAGCAGUGUAUGGCUAGCAGGCUGGCUGUGGCCCCCCAACCUAUUUUGCAACUUCCCUUGUCUUCCCAAAACAAUGAAUGAAUGGCCCAGAAGCAUUGGGACUCUUCCUAGUGCAGCAGUUCCCCCUACAAAGCCAAGCACAUAUAGGGUCUUGCUUGAACAUAUGUGUCAGGAGGAUUUUCGGACAUUUCUCCAAAACUGGAAAUGAACUUCUAUUCACUUCUCAUUUAGGGAAGAAAAUUGCAAAACAACACCCCACCCCCAAAGAAAAGAAUCACAUUUUUGUUGUGGGGGGGAGAUUUGUAGCUUAAGA